UACGUAGGGAGCAAGCGUUGUCCGGAAUCAUUGGGCGUAAAGCGCGCGUAGGCGGCCCCGUAAGUCCGCUGUGAAAGUCAAAGGCUCAACCUUUGAAAGCCGGUGGAUACUGUGGGGCUAGAGUCCGGAAGAGGCGAGUGGAAUUCCUGGUGUAGCGGUGGAAUGCGCAGAUAUCAGGAAGAACACCCGUGGCGAAGGCGGCUCUCUGGGACGGUACUGACGCUGAGGAGCGAAAGCGUGGGGAGCGAACAGG
rnacentral:rRNA from 1 species